UAGCCUACGGGAGGCAGCAGUGGGAGAUAUUGCGCAAUGGGGGGAACCCUGAUGCAGCGACGCCGCGUGGGUGAAGAAGCGCCUCGGCGCGUAAAGCCCUGUCAGCAGGGAAGAAAAUGACGGUACCUGAAGAAGAAGCCCCGGCUAACUACGUGCCAGCAGCCGCGGUAAUACGUAGGGGGCAAGCGUUAUCCGGAUUCACUGGGCGUAAAGGGAGCGCAGGCGGCACGGCAAGUCUGGUGUGAAAACCCGGGGCUCAACCCCGGGACUGCAUUGGAAACUGCCGGGCUGGAGUGUCGGAGGGG
rnacentral:rRNA from 1 species